rnacentral:lncRNA from 1 species
UGGGUAUACAUGUGGUUAAAUGGUAUAUUCACUGGGCAUAUUCGGUGAUCACACCGUUUCAUAUACUGAAUAAAUCAAGAAACGUGACUCAUAAUGUUCUUAACAUUUCACUCAUACCGGUCAACAGUCAUUAUUUGAAAAUAUCCAUCCAUCCCAUGAAUAGUUGAAUGUAGACAUGGAUGUGAAAUACACUAUGAACAUCUAACAAAAGAAACACAGUGCACUCACAGUGAGUGUCCAUGGUUAUUACACCGUACUUCUUUUGUAAGAUGUUCAUAGUAGUAGUCGGGUAUUCCAGUGAACCCAAUACUGCAAAGUGAGGAUUUUUUUUACAUGUUUGGUAGCCGUAGAGUCACUUUUUAGGUACAGCCUGGGCUGAAUGCAAUAGAAAAAAGGGCAAGGCUGUGAGUGAAAAUCUGAAAGAGUUCACCCAUGUCUAUACUUUCACAGAAGUACCUGGUGUGGCUAGGUCUCCUUUUCCAUCGUCCCUAACCAUGCCAAACCCAGCGAGGUUCUAUGUGAUUAUACACUAAACUUCAGGGGUUAGGGUAAAGUGAACGAUCCAAGGAUCAUACAAUACUUGGCCAGUUUGCAUGAUGUUUGGAUGAAAGGCCCUUUUUUGAAGAAUACUUAUGCCUAGACGUCUUAGGCUCUUACUUUUGGAGGAUGCAUGGUCUCUACAACAUUACACCAUACAUUACAGAAAUCUGUGUCGAUUGUGAUUUGUUUAGGGUCAUCUGCUCCCCUAAUUUGGAUAUUUGGCUUAUAACAGGGUCAACAUAGAACAAAGUAGACUGACUUUUUGUUAGGUAGUUGAGUGUUCUGAACUGUUUUAGUCUGGCACAUGUAAUGUCAUGAAAUCUGUGUGUUUAAAUGCCUUCGUGUCUUUCACCCAAGGUAGCCAGGCAAGUGUAUAUAUAUCUUUGUAAUCUGAAAAGGGUCCAUUUCCCUCAGCAUGUUUCUAUGUCACUAUCACAAUUUUUCUUUUACACUGAACCUUAAGCGUGCCUGCUGAUCUCUAACAGUGUUUCAACACCAAUUUCAUGAAAUUCACAGAUACCGAUUAUUAGAUUUGUAGAGAUUUUCCAUGCAGCAUGUCCUAAUGUAUACAUUUGACUGGGCAUACAAAAGAUUGGUCAUGUAUGGAUGGAAGUGGGAAUUUCUAAGGUCUAUCAUUACUUUUUACCGUGUCCAUUUGGAUUAAAACAUUGUCACUGUCACACCGGCAACCUAAAAUCUUUCUUUUGCAUCCGAUAUUUGAUGUUGGAUUUCUUUGUUCAAAUGGCUCUUUUAGUAUUAUCCCUGACAGUCCUCAGUCCCCCAACAGGUGAAGGAUUGAGGACUGUUAAGGUUAAGGCACUUUGGGUAUACGUGUAUGUUGGCACUGACAUGAAAUUUACUGUUAGUUGCAGAAAUCUGAUUUCAAAAGAACAGUUUAAGACAUUGGAUUUUGCUUUCUUCCUGUUGUGACGCACGAAGAUUUUCAGUUCUACUGACUGUAAUUAAUGGUUGAAGUUGGUGCAAGUUGUCUGCCCAAAUGGGCUCACAUUUUCUGAAAUUGGGUUGUUAAAAAUCAUUGUGCGUACACUUUUCGAUCCAUGGUUAAAGAUAUCAAUACAGAGAGGUCGAGGUGUUUCCAAGUAUUUCUGUUACUUAGUCUGAGGCAAAGUGGACAGUUCAUGGAAAAGGAGGAGAGACUGAGCAUAAGGUGACGGUUUGUGCUUUGUAAUAAAACCAAACACUUUGAUCCUAUAUUUCUAGAUUUGUUGUCAUCUAAUUUUCAACCAACCCAUUUUUUUCUCAAUUGUAAAGAGAAUUGUUUUGUUACUAACUGCAAGACUGUGCAGAAUAUAAUUGAAUUGAAAUCUCCAUUUUAUCAUAAUAGUUGAAAUUUCAUUUUGUAUUUCUUUUACAGGCAAAUGUCUACAUUUCUUUAUGGCUGCAGUAUGUGUCUUGUUUUAGCCCUUCUGUGCUCCCUUACCUUUGCAAAGGGGCACUGGAUUUGUGAAAUUCAACAUUCUUGGCAUGUUAUUUGAUUCCAGCGAUACUUUGUAAAUCAGAACUUGUAAGCAAAUGGCAGGUAGGAUGUUGUGUGCAUGUGAGCCAUUUUGAAGUAUCGUUGAAUCAUGAAAAUACAGUAGUUGAGUUGCCAAAGAUUUACAAUGAUGUCAGUCACUUGUUGCUUCACAGAAAAAAAACAAACACAGGGUGAUCAGUGAUAAGAAAUACCUCUGCGACGGUUCAUUUGAUUAGCUUUUAACUGACCUGACAUGAGAUUGGAUAAUCUGUAACGACUUGAUUAGAACUCGUCCAUAAAAUUUGGUUUUGCCUUAAAUGUAUGCCUUAUUAAUCUAAGGCAGGAAUCCAAAAAUUGCCUUGCAUUUAUUGCAUGACGUGUGCAUACAUUUCAUCAGGGCUUUACUCAUUUUAAAUCUAUUAGUAAAAUUACAAAAACCAUAUGAUUCAGGUGUUUAAUGGUAUUGUCCUUCAAAUUGCAAUUUUUUUCCAGUUUUCUCACAUUUUAUUAUUUAUUUUUAUUAAUGCCUCUUGCUUUGAUACUUGUAUGAUAAAUUUGGUGGGUUAUCUCUGUUUAACAACAAAAAAUCACUUAUAGAAAAUUAUGCAGUUCUUGAAACAAUAUAAGUUUUUCAUUCAAAUGUAUCAAUGGGAAACUAAGAAUAUUUAUAUUUAAAAAAAAUCACUCCAUGAUAUUCAAGUUUUAUUUACAUAUUCAUCAGAUGAUGCAAGUACAUGUAGAUCAUUGGUAAAUGAUAAUCACAUUUAAUAGCUAGAAAAGUCAAGUGCAAGAAGUGUGUCUCUGACAUAGUAAUUUUGGAUAAGUAAUCCUGUUUUGAAUAUCUUUACAAAAUAUAUCCCUUUUAAUGAAAUUUUAAAUAUUGUAAACAAGUUUUUGACUCCAGGAGUCAUUAGAAAUGCACGAUUAUAACCAAUCAUCUACAAAGGAAGUCACAUGGUAACACUCAACCAGUCAUGUUCCUGAUUGAGCAGUUUUUAGACAUUGUAUAAUAAAUGGCGGUGUAUAUUAUGUUGGGUUAAAGAACUGAUUUCCAGAUCCAUGAUGGAGUGAAGUAAUUAAUUCAUGAAAACCUGAUCAAGGGAUGAAAAGUCUUUGCAGUAUCCAGAAACUUCUCCAAACGCUUGAGUAUGUUUGGGCUUAAGUGUCUUAGAUUGUGCUAUGAAAAUCCCUCUUUAGGCAAUAGUUAAGGUAGGAAAUAGCUUUUAGGUACAACCAUGGGACUCUAUCUCUUCUUUGAAGAAGUGUGAUUCUGAAAAGAACUGGUAAUAAGAGUUUUCAGACAGUGUACUCUGAAACAUUGAGAACACUCUCACUACACUCCAGAACCACACUUCUUCAAAGAAGAGGUCGAUUCUGUAAUGGUACCAAGAAGCUGUCGUCAGUGGUGUACCUCAUCAGUUCACCAUGCAAAGCUUCAAAUGGUAACAAGCAAUAGUUGUUGCAAUGUUGUGGUCUUAAAUCAGGUGUCCCGUGAGUGUUAAAGUGGACAGGUGCCUGCAUUCAGGUAAUUGGUAACCUGUGGCCAAUGCUGAAGGCACCAGGCACGUUUUUUUUUGUUCUUGACCCGAACGCUGCUUCUAGUUAUUGCAUUUUGCAAAGGCUUAUUACAUCCAACAAUAUCUACUUGUAAAUGUAGGAAGUUGGUAAGCAGUACAUGUACUGUACGUUCCAUUGUCGCCCCAUUCUUGCAUAAUUGCCACUAGCAGUAGACCUCUGUGUGCACAGCACAAGGUGUAGAUGUGUACAAAGUGCUCUGUCUGAGAAAAUCUAACACAUGGUAGAUUUUGGUUCAUUUGACAGAAUCGGCUGUCUGUAAGAUAUUGUUUGAUUCAGCGUCUGUGGAAAGUUUACUUUGAAUUUGCCUGAUGUAUUGCAAUUAGAUACGCAUACUAUUGAACAUGAUCUCCAAUUUUGCAAUGGACUAUCACCACUUAAACCAGUUCAGCUGUGUUCAGAUAUAUGAUACUGAACGGGCUCGUCCCCAAGUGGUUCACCUGUCAGAACUAAUAUGGUAUCCAUCAGUCCAAAAUUCUUGAUUGAAUUCCAAACGUAUAUAUAAUGAAUCUCCUCCUCAAUCUCCUGUCAUCUCUAAAUGCCUGAGGAGCGGAGAGUUGGUAGAGAAAGGGGGAGUGGGAGUAUAAUCCUUUGUAUGUUGUGCAUUAUUUGUGUAGUAAUAAUUCUAUAAUUGAGGCACUGCCAAAGCAGAUGCAUUAUCAAUAAAGUAUUUGCCUUCUAAAGGGCGCUUAUCACA